GAUCUUUCUUGAUUCUAUGGGUGGUGGUGCAUGGCCGUUCUUAGUUGGUGGAGUGAUCUGUCUGGUUAAUUCCGAUAACGAACGAGACCUCAGCCUGCUAACUAGUCGCCACUGGUUCCAGUGACGGACUUCUUAGAGGGACUUUAGGAGCGAUCCUAAGGAAGCUUGAGGCAAUAACAGGUCUGUGAUGCCCUUAGAUGUCCUGGGCCGCACGCGCGCUACACUGAUACAGGCAACAAGUUCCGCGACAGACAUGUCCCGGGAACCUUCAAACUGUAUCGUGAUGGGGAUUGACUCUUGUAAUUAUUGGUCAUGAACGAGGAAUUCCUAGUAAACGCAAGUCAUCAGCUUGCAUUGACUACGUCCCUGCCCUUUGUACACACCGCCCGUCGCUCCUACCGAUUUGAGUGACGAGGUGA
rnacentral:rRNA from 1 species